rnacentral:sRNA from 2 species
UCAUAUCAUGUGCCCUCUAUGAGGAGUUUUGGAUUAAGGUAAGAAAAUCAUGUGCUCUUAAACUUGAAUAUAUUAUAAACAUUGAUCUAGUGACUAACCUUUUUUGUACUUCUGUUGAAUGUUGUUCAUAUAACUAUAUCUGUUGCAUUAGGAGAUGGUCUGCUUGCAACCAGAUUUGACUGCUGCAUAUGCCAACCUCGUUGCCUCUCUUCGUCCUUCCUUACAGAAACUAGUCUAGUGGUUCAAUAAAGUAUGCCAAGUACAUGGAAAACCAUAGCAUUGAAGGAGUGAGGCAUGUCUUCAGCAGAGCUUGUACUAUACAUCUCCCAAAGAAACCCAUGGUGCAUAUGCUUUGGGCAGCUUUUGAGGAACAGCAGGGUAAUAUUAAUGAAGCCAGGAAUAUCUUGAGAACAUUUGAAGAAUGUGUUCUAGGAUUGGCAAUGGUUCGUUUACGAAGAGUAAGUUUAGAACGACGGCAUGGAAAUCUGGAAGAAGCUGA